rnacentral:rRNA from 1 species
GAUGAACGCUAGCGGCAGGCCUAACACAUGCAAGUCGAGGGAGAAGCCCUUUCGGGGGCUGCACCCGGCGCACGGGUGCGUAACGCGUAUGCAACCUACCUUUCACAGGGGGAUAGCCCGAAGAAAUUUGGAUUAAUACCCCAUAAUAUUGUUGGAUGGCAUCAUUUGGCAAUUAAAACUGCGGUGGUGAAAGAUGGGCAUGCGUCCUAUUAGCUAGUUGGAGUGGUAACGGCACCCCAAGGCUACGAUAGGAAGGGGUCCUGAGAGUGAGAUCCCCCACACUGGUACCGAGACAGGGACCAGACUCCUACGGGAGGCAGCAGUGAGGAAUAUUGGUCAAUGGUCGGAAGACUGAACCAGCCAUGCCGCGUGCAGGAAGAAUGCCUUAUGGGUUGUAAACUGCUUUUAUAUGGGAAGAAUAAGGCGUACGUGUACGUUGAUGACGGUACCAUAUGAAUAAGCAUCGGCUAACUCCGUG